GUGCAUAAUAGCUAGUGACAUAAGCUAGGGAUGGCAAAACAUUGGUCACGGCUUGGGCUCCUAAACUUGGCUCAAGGACCCAUUGGCAUGCUCCAAUCAUCAAGUGGGUCAUGGUUAUACAAAAGGAAUGAAUGAUUUAAACAUACUUGAAAUUGAUUUGUCUGAUCAUCAGUGAAAGUCAGUGGGCCUACCUUUUUCAUUUUUCUUUCUUUUUCUCAUAUGGGUCCUUUUCAAUUUUCUCUGAUGUUGGUGGGUUUUGAUGCAGGUACAUAGCCUUUGAUGAAUAUGAAGGGAUUGAGGUGGCAUGGAACCAGGUGAAGCUGUAUGACUUCUUACAGAGCCCUGAAGAUCUAGAGAAGCUUUACUGUGAAAUCCAUCUUCUAUAAACCUGGCAUUCAAUCGGCUGAGUCAGAAUAUUCCAUUCUCCUUAGCUUCCUUGAAAUCUCUCUGUUAUUUGAAUCUGAGUCACAAUUCCCUCUCCGGUUCCAUUGGGGACAUAUUUACUGGUCUGAAGAAUCUAAAACAAAUCUAAAACAAAUGUUCUGGACUGUGGUGAGAAGAUUGAGCUUCUGGUAGACAAAACAGAGAACCUCUACUGUGGUGAACCUCAAUAUCAUUGAGGGCCUGAACCUGCUGAAGGACUCCGAAAUAUUGGUGCUGAUGCCUUUUACUGCUACACAGCUCACCAAAUAUUGACAGAAGAAACCAGUCUCUUGGAAACAAUUGCAAUUAUUGGCGGUAAGGAAAUCAUUGACAUU